rnacentral:rRNA from 1 species
AGUGAACGCUGGCGGUAGGCCUAACACAUGCAAGUCGAACGGCAGCACAGUAAGAGCUUGCUCUUACGGGUGGCGAGUGGCGGACGGGUGAGGAAUACAUCGGAAUCUACUUUUUCGUGGGGGAUAACGUAGGGAAACUUACGCUAAUACCGCAUACGACCUACGGGUGAAAGCAGGGGAUCUUCGGACCUUGCGCGAUUGAAUGAGCCGAUGUCGGAUUAGCUAGUUGGCGGGGUAAAGGCCCACCAAGGCGACGAUCCGUAGCUGGUCUGAGAGGAUGAUCAGCCACACUGGAACGGAGACACGGUCCAGACGACUACGAGAGGCAGCAGUGGGGAAUAUUGGACAAUGGGCGCAAGCCUGAUCCAGCCAUACCGCGUGGGUGAAGAAGGCCUUCGGGUUGUAAAGCCCUUUUGUUGGGAAAGAAAAGCAGCAGGUUAAUACCCCGCUGUUCUGACGGUACCCAAAGAAUAAGCACCGGCUAACUUCGUG